UAGCGGUGAAAUGCGUAGAUAUCGGGAAGAACACCAGUGGCGAAAGCGCCCUACUGGGCCAUCACUGACGCUCAUGGACGAAAGCCAGGGGAGCGAAAGGGAUUAGAUACCCCUGUAGUCCUGGCCGUAAACGAUGAACACUAGGUGUCGGGGGAAUCGACCCCUCCGGUGUCGUAGCCAACGCGUUAAGUGUUCCGCCUGGGGAGUACGCACGCAAGUGUGAAACUCAAAGGAAUUGACGGGGGCCCGCACAAGCGGUGGAGUAUGUGGUUUAAUUCGAUGCAACGCGAAGAACCUUACCAGGGCUUGACAUCCUGCGAAUCUCUGGGAAACCGGAGAGUGCCUUCGGGAACGCAGUGACAGGUGGUGCAUGGCUGUCGUCAGCUCGUGUCGUGAGAUGUUGGGUUAAGUCCCGCAACGAGCGCAACCCACGUCUUUAGUUGCCAGCAUUUAGUUGGGCACUCUAGAGAGACCGCCGGUGACAAACCGGAGGAAGGUGUGGAUGACGUCAAGUCAUCAUGCCCCUUACGUCCUGGGCUACACACGUACUACAAUGCUACGGACAAAGAGCAGCUAACUCGCGAGAGUACGCAAAUCUCAUAAACCGUGGCUCAGUUCAGAUCGUAGGCUGCAACUCGCCUACGUGAAGGAGGAAUCGCUAGUAAUCGCAGGUCAGCAUACUGCGGUGAAUACGUUCCCGGGCCUUGUACACACCGCCCGUC
rnacentral:rRNA from 1 species